CAUUAGAUUUUGUGUGGUCCAAUUAGCUUUGCUCUUGUGCACCUAAACCGUGAUAGUAUGAACAGAUGAUGAAAACAGAAAGCAGAAUGUAUAGUAAUUGGUACGUAUGAUAUCGUCAUUGCAACCCCUAAACAGAAACAUGCCCUCUGGGCUAUCCGAGAAUGAAAUUAUCAUGAACUGACCAACACAUAACAACCAUACCACUAAACCCUAAUCACAUUGUACACAGAAGUAAUGUCCGAAACAAAAAUAAACAAAAAUAAACAGAAAUAUCUAUAGUACAAACAUAAACAAAAAUAUUUAAAGUAAGCUACUACACAUGCAGUUACCAGGUACGCAAGGUGUUGUUUAGAGCAGUAAGUAGUUCACAUGUACAAAACCUAAUUACUGUCAAAUAGAAGUAAACUACUUGACAUGUUGUAAGC
rnacentral:lncRNA from 1 species